rnacentral:rRNA from 1 species
UACAGGAGGGGGCAAGCGUUGUUCGGAAUUACUGGGCGUAAAGGGCGCGUAGGCGGCCUGUUAAGUCGGACGUGAAAUCCCUCGGCUCAACCGGGGAACUGCGUCCGAUACUGGCGGGCUUGAAUUCGGGAGAGGGAUGUGGAAUUCCAGGUGUAGCGGUGAAAUGCGUAGAUAUCUGGAGGAACACCGGUGGCGAAGGCGGCAUCCUGGACCGACAUUGACGCUGAGGCGCGAAAGCCAGGGGAGCAAACGGG